ACAGACCCCACGCGGGGCUCGAACCCAUGAGACCAUGACCUGAGCCAAAGUCGGAGCCUUAACCGACUGAGCUCCCCAGGCGUCUCUCUCUUCCCCAGUAUUGUGAAGGCAGCCGUGGACACAAGGGCAACCUUUCCGCUCUGGGGUAUCGGCCCCCACCUGCUCAGGGACUCUGUCCAGCUCCGCGUGGAGGUGGGACCUGCCAGCCAGAAAGUCCUCCCCGACGCGCCCUCGCAGGAACAAUACUUAAAGCCCCCUGAUGGAGCACGGAGAGCCGGCUGUCGCAUCUGUCUCCCUGGGACACCGGGCUUAGUGAUCAGUGGGGGGAAUCUCAGCCCUCUGCUGGCUGCAGUCAGCUGAGGAGGCUUUCUGGAAGCUUAAGUCCUCAAGCAUGGCUGCCUCCGGGAGCUUCCCCCGCUGCCCUGAGCUGGACCCAAAGGGCCCUGCUUCUGUUUGCAUUCAUGCUACCAGAGCGGUCCGUGGGGGUGGGGGGAAGGGGGGUCCGCGACACAAAUGCCCACUCCCCACUUGGGUGGCCCAGGCCCACCAGCUGCCUUCACUUUUGGUAGCAUCAGCUAUUUUAAUGCAGAGUUAGGCACACAAUCCUUGCUAAAAAUAAAUACAAAGGAAAACCCCAAA